rnacentral:rRNA from 1 species
UACGGAGGGUGCGAGCGUUAAUCGGAAUUACUGGGCGUAAAGGGUGCGUAGGUGGUUGAUUAAGUUAUCUGUGAAAUCCCCGGGCUCAACCUGGGCAGGUCAGAUAAUACUGGUUAACUCGAGUAUGGGAGAGGGUAGUGGAAUUUCCGGUGUAGCGGUGAAAUGCGUAGAGAUCGGAAGGAACACCAGUGGCGAAGGCGGCUACCUGGCCCAAUACUGACACUGAGGCACGAAAGCGUGGGGAGCAAACAGGG